rnacentral:lncRNA from 1 species
UCGCGAGCGUCCGAAAUUGGGAACGAUUUCGGAGCUAAUUCGGCCACAACCGAACAGAAGAUUCUACUCAAACAGGGGAUAUUUUUGAAUUUCUAUAAUCUUUUAUUUCUAAUUUUAAAUUUAAUAUAGAAUUUAUAUUUUGAGGGUUUAGGGUUGCAGCUAGGGUUCUUCUUUGCGUGCUGCGGAUUUGCUCACCGACUAGCUGAUUCAUUUUAUUUAGGGAUUACUCAGCUGGUAUAUUACAUUAUUUGUUGCAUUUGUAAAAAUAAAGCAUUUAUGAUAUUAGUGUAUACUUGUAUUGAAAAUUAAUUUGUUUGUAUUCAUAUAUGUAUUGUUGGCUAGAAUUAUGUAUGCAUUACAAUCUGUCACUUUUAUGCCAUAAAGGGUUUAGUCUUAGAACUUAUAAGAACACUCUUAGUAGAACACUUUUAUAGGAUUUGUGUUUGCAAACAUAUAUGCUUGACAAUCUGACACUCUUAUGGCAAUAAAGAACACUCUUACAGCUUAAUAGAACACUAUUAUUAGCUUUAUGGUUGUGAACACGCUUUUGUCAUAGUAGAACACUUCUAGGACUUAAUAGAAUAUUUUUAUCAGGUUUAUAGUUGCGAACAUGUAUGCAUUUGUAAUCUUACCCACUUAUGACUUAAUAGAACAUUCUUAAAGUUUCACAUAACACUGCUAUCAGUUGUAGACUUUAUAACAGAUUUAUGGCAUAAUAGAAUAAUUGUAAAGCAUAAUAGAACAACUCAAUAUGGGGUGUAUGGGUAGAAUAGAACACUCUUAGAGCAUAAUAGAAUACUGAAACCUUGAUUUGUAGAUAUCGUUCUUAAAUUUUUUAUAUUUAUCGGUAGUUUCCAAUUUAUGUGGUAUACAUUUGGAAUGACAGUUUGGGAUGUACAAAACUUAGCAAAGAAAAAAAAAAGAAGAAGAAAGAAUAUGAGCAUUGUGGAUUGUUUCUCUUUGAAUUGAAUUCACGUACACGUGCAUUUUUGAGUUUUUCAUGUUUCUAUACUUCGGAGAUCAAUUGACUGAUUAAUUGAGAUGUAUGGGAGUUCAAAAAUCUAUACUUUGGAGAUCAACAUUACUGAUUAAUUGAGAAAUCUGGGAGAUCUUCUCAACUUCCAAUUAUGUUGCUAUAUCAUGGUUUUAAGGCUUCAAUCUUACCCACUUUUGUCAUAGUAGAAUAGAACACUCUUAGAGCAUAAUAGAAUACUUUUAUCAGAUUUGCAGUUGCGAACAUGUAUGCAUUCCAAUCUUAACCUCUUAUGACUUAAUAAAACAUUCUUAAAACUUAAUGGAAGUGUGCUAUCAGUUUUAGGCUUUAUAACAGUUUUAUGCCAGAAUAGAACAGUUGUAAAGGUUAAAAGAACACUCUAUUAGCUUUAUGAUUGUCAACAUUCUUUUGUCAUAGUAGAAUAAAACACUUUUAUGCCAUAAUAGAACAGUUGUAAAGGUUAAAAGAACACUCUAUUAGCUUUAUGGUUGUCAACAUUCUUUUGUCAUAGUAGAAUAAAACACUUUUAUGCCAUAAAAGAACAGUUGUAAAGGUUAAAAGAACACUCUAUUAGCUUUAUGGUUGUCAACACUCUUUUGUCAUAGUAGAAUAAAACACUUUUAUGCCAUAAAAGAACAGUUGUAAAGGUUAAAAGAACACUCUUAAUAGCUAGCUUUAUG